UUUUUAUUGCAAUACUUUUCUGACAUUCAUAAUGCUCAUACUUCUAUUCUGUUAGUUUAGGUGACUCCUUUUCAUGGCAAUUAUACUUCUGGUAUUGUGCUGUACCAUCUCAUGUUUAAUUUCUGAUUUCUAAUUAUUGUUUGUACAAAGAAAUAUAAUAUAUAUUGAUAUAUGCAGGCUAUCGCUGUAGUGAAGCAAGCAUUGGACGUUGACCCUACAAACUUAGAGAUGCUUCAUGCACUUGGUGUGAGUCAUGCAAAUGGGAGAUAUCACUAAACAAAUGACUGCAAUAGAAGAAAUGGUUGCAAGUGAGUACAAUUAGCCAGACCCUUAUCUUUGUGACAAGAUCUUGAAGAUGGUCAUUUGUGAAGCGUUCUAGUUUGCUAUUAGUUGCAAUUUUAGUUAUUGCUCUCUCAAUAUAUUCUUUUUCUUUCUUUCUUUCUUUUUUUCCAAAGGAUGAUCAAUGUAUAAUAAUUAAGCUUCAUAACUUCUUUGUAUUUGGAGCCAAGUUGUAUAUAAAUGUACACAUUAUUAAGAUUUCAUUUUGUAUAUGUACAAGUAAAAGAUUUCAUUUUUAA